CAGCCGCCACGGUAAUACGUAGGGUGCAAGCGUUAAUCGGAAUUACUGGGCGUAAAGCGUGCGCAGGCGGUUAUAUAAGUCAGAUGUGAAAUCCCCGGGCUCAACCUGGGAACUGCAUUUGAGACUGUAUGGCUAGAGUGUGUCAGAGGGGGGUAGAAUUCCACGUGUAGCAGUGAAAUGCGUAGAUAUGUGGAGGAAUACCGAUGGCGAAGGCAGCCCCCUGGGAUAACACUGACGCUCAUGCACGAAAGCGUGGGGAGCAAACAGGAUUAGAUACCCCCGUAGUCCCUGUCUCUUAUAC
rnacentral:rRNA from 1 species